rnacentral:tRNA from 1 species
GCGCGAUUAGCUCAUUUGGCUAGAGCGCCUCGUUGACGUCGAGGAGGUGGCAGGUCCGAAUCCUGCAUCGCGCA